UACGUAGGGGGCAAGCGUUAUCCGGAUUUAUUGGGCGUAAAGAGCUCGUAGGCGGCCGUUCGCGUCGGAUGUGAAAGCUCAGGGCUCAACUCUGAGACGGCAUUCGAUACGGGACGGCUAGAGGUAGGUAAGGGAAAGUGGAAUUCCUGGUGUAGCGGUGAAAUGCGCAGAUAUCAGGAGGAACACCGGUGGCGAAGGCGGCUUUCUGGGCCUUACCUGACGCUGAGGAGCGAAAGCUGGGGGAGCGAACGGG
rnacentral:rRNA from 1 species